GUCCCAGUAGCGCAAUGGUUAGCGCGUGGGACUUCUAAUCCAAAGGUCGUGGGUUUGAAUCCUACCUGGGAUG
rnacentral:tRNA from 1 species